AUGAACGCUAGCUACAGGCUUAACACAUGCAAGUCGAGGGGCAGCAUGAACUUAGCUUGCUAAGUUUGAUGGCGACCGGCGCACGGGUGAGUAACACGUAUCCAACCUGCCGAUGACUCGGGGAUAGCCUUUCGAAAGAAAGAUUAAUACCCGAUGGCAUAGUUCUUCCGCAUGGUAGAACUAUUAAAGAAUUUCGGUCAUCGAUGGGGAUGCGUUCCAUUAGGUUGUUGGCGGGGUAACGGCCCACCAAGCCUUCGAUGGAUAGGGGUUCUGAGAGGAAGGUCCCCCACAUUGGAACUGAGACACGGUCCAAACUCCUACGGGAGGCAGCAGUGAGGAAUAUUGGUCAAUGGACGAGAGUCUGAACCAGCCAAGUAGCGUGAAGGAUGACUGCCCUAUGGGUUGUAAACUUCUUUUAUACGGGAAUAAAGUGAGGCACGUGUGCCUUUUUGUAUGUACCGUAUGAAUAAGGAUCGGCUAACUCCGUGCCAGCAGCCGCGGUAAUACGGAGGAUCCGAGCGUUAUCCGGAUUUAUUGGGUUUAAAGGGAGCGUAGGCGGACGCUUAAGUCAGUUGUGAAAGUUUGCGGCUCAACCGUAAAAUUGCAGUUGAUACUGGGUGUCUUGAGUACAGUAGAGGCAGGCGGAAUUCGUGGUGUAGCGGUGAAAUGCUUAGAUAUCACGAAGAACUCCGAUUGCGAAGGCAGCCUGCUGGACUGUAACUGACGCUGAUGCUCGAAAGUGUGGGUAUCAAACAGGAUUAGAUACCCUGGUAGUCCACACAGUAAACGAUGAAUACUCGCUGUUUGCGAUAUACAGUAAGCGGCCAAGCGAAAGCGUUAAGUAUUCCACCUGGGGAGUACGCCGGCAACGGUGAAACUCAAAGGAAUUGACGGGGGCCCGCACAAGCGGUGGAGCAUGUGGUUUAAUUCGAUGCAACGCGAAGAACCUUACCUGGUCUUGACAUCCACGGAAGUUUUCAGAGAUGAGAAUGUGCCUUCGGGAACCGUGAGACAGGUGCUGCAUGGCUGUCGUCAGCUCGUGUUGUGAAAUGUUGGGUUAAGUCCCGCAACGAGCGCAACCCUUAUUGCCAGUUACUACGCAAGAGGACUCUGGCGAGACUGCCGUUGACAAAACGGAGGAAGGUGGGGAUGACGUCAAAUCAGCACGGCCCUUACGUCCGGGGCUACACACGUGUUACAAUGGGGGGUACAGAAGGCAGCUACACGGCGACGUGAUGCUAAUCCCUAAAGCCUCUCUCAGUUCGGAUUGGAGUCUGCAACCCGACUCCAUGAAGCUGGAUUCGCUAGUAAUCGCGCAUCAGCCACGGCGCGGUGAAUACGUUCCCGGGCCUUGUACACACCGCCCGUCAAGCCAUGAAAGCCGGGGGUACCUGAAGUGCGUAACCGCAAGGAGCGCCCUAGGGUAAAACUGGUGAUUGGGGCU
rnacentral:rRNA from 1 species